UGUUCACAAGCCGUGGGAAAUUUCAUCGCCAAGGUGCAUCUGUCAGUAAAUGUCAAUUGUAAGCAAACUAAAUGGUAAUUUGAAUAAAAAAAAGUCUUCUAAAACUUCAAAAUAAGACUGAGCAACACUUGCAUUUUUGUCAACCCAUCCCAAAGUACAGUACCAGUAAAGGUCUUUUAAAUCUGCUCAAAUAUAGUGAUUUCCCAAUGUCUUCAGCUUGCGUUGAUGUGUAUGUCAUGAGCCAUGGACGAAGAAAGACGAGACAUUUCAGUGGCCUGCAGGUCGGGAAAUAGACCAGUGUGUAAGCAAGCUUCAAUAGCCAAAUAAGAUUAAGAUAGUGAUCUUGGCCACUGCUACAUUCAAACUCAGACAAAAAUAAUGGAAAAGCCCUGUGGUGAAACACUCCUGUAUAUUUCUGGUGUCUUUUUCUGCAUUAUUAAAGUGAAAGUUUUUAUAUACAAAAAUGAAGAAACUUAUCAUACCUUAAGAAGCCGUAGGAGAUAAUCCUAAAAUAAUUUAAAUUGCCAUUCGCCGAUGUUUGCUUAUAUUUACAUAGAAAAUAAAAUUGAUAUAUAAAAUUUCAACGCAUGCAGAAGUUAUUCAUUUCAUUACACGUAGCAAGAGGGUUUUUUUAAAAAAUAAGCUGCAAAAAAUAAACCUUAAUCCAUUUUUUACUUUAAAUUGAUAAAAUCAUUUAAUCAGAUCAUUCACACAUUUCCUAUAGCCAGAUAGACAGAAUACUUGCAGCAAUAUAAAGUACGCACUAUAUAAGUGAGCAGAACAGGGACAGAAUAGGAUACAUAAUUUGUCUUUUUACCAAAACAAAACCAUUAAAGAUAAUUACUCUUUGAACUUUCCUUUCUUACAAUCUUCACAAAAGCUUUUUUUGACCGAUCCCAUUUCCAGAAAAUACAAGCGCCAGGAGAGAAGAAAACAAUUCAAAUUACAAGAGAGGGUAUAAAACCAAUUUGGUAAAUUCUACUUUUUUUUGUAAGAGUUUAGAUAUAAAUCUUAAACGACAAUGAACAAAAGCGACCAUUACAAAUUAAUCCCGACUUUUAAUAAGUAGCUGAGACCUGGGUUUCCCUAGUAAAGAAAAAAAAGAAAAAAAUAUAUUAAAACCCUGUGAUCACAGCAAGCUUUUCUCAUUUCUUAUCCAAUCAUUUUCUUUUUAAUCCAAUACCAGUAAUCCAAUUUGUCUAUCAGACUUUUAAGGGGCAGAAUGCAACUUCCAUUUCUUCUACACUUCUGAACAUACAAUAUAUUUUCAGAAGAAUGCGGCAUGUUUCAUUUUAGCCCUACUGUUCGCUGCUCUAAUGUCUUGAGGAAAAAAGAACAAGAUGAACAUUGUUCCUACUGAUUAAGUAAGAGCUCAUUAAAGACCUGUCAGUGCCUUACUUUGAAUAUGCAUGAAGCACAUAAUCAGAUCUCGUACCGUCACUAGAGGAGAAUACGAACUAGUGUACCUUGCUGACUCAGCUGUGGAGAAGAUGACAAAUUAUCGGGAGUUGAGGACUAAAUACCUCUCCUGUUGGCCUGAAGAUUGCGGGAAGCAGUUUGGGAUGCAGGUGCUUAAGAAGUAACAUGUACUGCCUUGCAAGACAAUCUUUUUAUGAAAAAAAUGCUUGAAAAAUACGAUAAAGGUCUAUGCUUUUAGCUUUCUUUUUAUAUACAUGUAUAUUUCUACAAAUAUAUUUCUUCCUGUUGUAACAAGCCUCACUGCAAUAAUCAAACCCACAAAUGAAAUAGAAAGAAGCAAAUAGAAACGAAUGCAAAAAACCUACAGUAAAAUGUUAGAAAAAAAAUCUGUAAAGCCUUUCUAUUUUGAAGGACACUGCUCCCUCUGGUGAAGAAAUAACAAGUUCAUUAAGAAAGCACCACCUCAGGAAUUAAAAUUCCCCUGACUUCUCCAAUGAGUUUAUUGGUUCAAUUUUCAUAACCGUGAGCAUCAUUAGGGCAAUGCAGUAAUUAAGAGUUGUUAGAAAGUGAAUUCUCAAACUGCAGAUUAGAAAAUUAAACUAUUUACUGAUUACAUAUUAAUGGAGGACAACAAUAGCAGUUGCCAUAAGCUUGGAAGGCAACCAAGGGAUAAAUCUGUGUACUUAAUUACCAUAAACAAUGGUUGCAUAGAAAUGAAGUUUUAUGCACAUUCCCUUCUGUAAUAUGUCUGAUAUCAGAAGACACUUGACAAUUCUUGUUCAAUUAUCUCUAUUAUUUAAUGUGCUGUGAACUGCUCUGUGUAAAUAAAUUAACCACCCCAAUUACUUUGAAUUCAUCUAGGGACAGCAUAAUAGAAAAUGUGGAGAAUUCUAUAUACCUAAUCUGAAAACUUCUGCUGCACAGCCACUGUUUCAGCCAAAAUCUUAGCAACACAGGUGAGCGUGCAGCUCUGUGUUGCAGUUUCAAUGCCUAAGAUCUUCCCUCAUACAUCUCUUACAGGACAAGAAGAUGUUUUAGCAACUCGUUUUUUGUCCAGUUUGAAUAAUGUUAUCCAGUCACUUAACUCAAUACCUUCCUUGUUUUUAGCGAUCAGUUUCCAUGACACACCUAGUUUUUGCGUCUGACAUGAGAAAAUGGAGUGUGGCUGAAAGAAGAGGUCUUGAUCCUGGAUCUCGCAUGGGGCUAAAGCCCAAUCUAGAACUUCACAGAUGCUCAGUUCUGCUCCAGUUUGGUGAACGGCCAGAGCACAGCUUGGGAAUAAUACAAGUUAGUAGGCUUGUGAUCCGAAAAGUAAUAUGGCACCUACUGAUAAUUCAGACGGAAUUUUACCUCUCAAUGACCAGAUCAUGUGUCUGACAGCAGAAGAUGGCAGUCUACCCCAAACACUCUAAAUAUGGAAAGAGACUGUGAUCUCUGGUCCAUGAACCCUGCUAAGCAACUGCAGCCGGCUGCUGUCUAAAUACUCUGUCUUAAAAAUGGGCAACUCUCCUACAGGCCAGGGCUGCUGAUCUUAUCCGCACUUUGAAUAAUCAUAAUGCAUCGGAAAGAAUAAAUCCUUUUAUAUCCUCUGUUACACAGUGCUAUACAAUGAUAAUUU